rnacentral:lncRNA from 1 species
UGUUCUACAGUUUCAGGUGCAGCUUGGCAAAGAGAGCACAUCGGAUUGCAUAGCCAGUUCCUUGCAGCUAGUCUGUCAGCCGUCAAUAUCUUGCUUUGGACUAGUAUCCAUGCAAAAAAUCUGUGCUUCCCUUCCACCUGUCCCUCAAGAUUGCUUGUGCUUCAAAUGGACUGAAAGAUCCUUGGAAUUGAAUUGCUUAUGCUGACUUAGCACUAUAUUCUCCAUCCGAUGUCCAUCUCCAAGCUAUUUCCUCAGGUCUAUCCGUGAAUUGAAUGUCCUGAACUAGGUCCCAAAUGUGCACAAAUUCAGUCAUUUCUAUCACCAUGUUCAUUCGCC